GGCUGGGUGGCCGAGCGGUCUAAGGCGGUAGACUCAAGAAGAUACGGAAUAUAUUAUAUUCCUUCUCCUUCUUCCUGGUAUUCAUAGUGCCUGGUGAUUUCUACUCUCGAAAGAGGCGCGCGUUCGAAUCGCGCCCCAGUCA